UGCGAGAGUGAUGAGUUGCACAUUUGGUGGAGCUGAGUGUCAGUUGACACAAACUCCACUCAUAACCCCCCUGAUGACAAAGUCAAGUGCACAGGGGCCAUCUGACUCGCU